AUACCAGCUCUCCGAGUGGUGUGGACGUUUAUUGGGCCUAAAGCAUCCGUAGCUGGCUGAACAAGUCCCCUGUUAAACCCACCGAUUUAAUCGUUGGUGUGCGGGGGAUACUGCUCGGCUAGGGGACGAGAGAGGCAGACGGUAUUCCCGGGGUAGGGGUGAAAUCCUAUAAUCCCGAGAAGACCACCAGUGGCGAAGGCUGUCUGCUAGAACGCGCCCGACGGUGAGGGAUGAAAGCUGGGGGAGCGAACCGGAUUAGAUACCCGGGUAGUCCCAGCUGUAAACGAUGCAGACUAGGUGUUUGGACGGCCACGUGCCGUUCUAGUGCCGCAGGGAAGCUGUUAAGUCUGCCGCCUGGGGAGUACGAUCGCAAGAUUGAAACUUAAAGGAAUUGGCGGGG
rnacentral:rRNA from 1 species